rnacentral:rRNA from 1 species
AUUGAACGCUGGCGGCAGGCCUAACACAUGCAAGUCGAGCGGAUGACGGGAGCUUGCUCCUUGAUUCAGCGGCGGACGGGUGAGUAAUGCCUAGGAAUCUGCCUGGUAGUGGGGGACAACGUUUCGAAAGGAACGCUAAUACCGCAUACGUCCUACGGGAGAAAGCAGGGGACCUUCGGGCCUUGCGCUAUCAGAUGAGCCUAGGUCGGAUUAGCUAGUUGGUGGGGUAAUGGCUCACCAAGGCGACGAUCCGUAACUGGUCUGAGAGGAUGAUCAGCCACACUGGAACGGGGACACGGUCCAGACUCCGACGGGAGGCAGUAGCGGGGAAUAUUGGACAAUGGGCGAAAGCCUGAUCCAGCCAUGCCGCGUGUGUGAAGAAGGUCUUCGGAUUGUAAAGCACUUUAAGUUGGGAGGAAGGGCAGUAAGUUAAUACCUUGCUGUUUUGACGUUACCGACAGAAUAAGCACCGGCUAACUCUGUGCCAGCCGCCGCCGUAACAC